AACCUACCAAAUUGAACAUUAAGAGGUGUACCAACUCAGUCAUAUAGUAUGACCACGAUAACUUAAAAUACACUACUACCUCCGUCCCAAAAUGCUGCUACCUAGUAUGGGAUUUGACCCAUCCUAGGACUAACAGUUAGUCCUAGGAUGGGUCAAAUCCCAUACUAGGUAGCAGCAUUUUAGGACGGAGGAAGUAAUUUUAACAAUGAAUUUUUGAAGUGGACAUAUAUCAAGCACAUAUAUCAAGAUAAGCACUUUAUUUCACUAGUCGUCAAAGAUAAUGAGGAUCCCUGCCUAAGUGUAUUUAGAUAAAAACAAACCAUUCUGAACAAAAGUAUCAUGUGUUCAAUAGGUCAUUGUCUGUCAUGAUUUUUUCUGAACUGCUAGCCUUUACAAAAUUAGCUUGAUCACAGAACAAAGCUUGAAAUGCCUAAUUCCUAGUGUAUGAUAUAUAUACAGCGGAUUAUAUCAAGAGGAAGACAU
rnacentral:lncRNA from 1 species